rnacentral:rRNA from 1 species
CAGAGGGUGCGAGCGUUAAUCGGAAUUACUGGGCGUAAAGCGUGCGUAGACGGUUAUCUAAGUCGGAUGUGAAAGCCCCGGGCUCAACCUGGGAAUUGCAUUCGAGACUGAAUAGCUAGGGUGCGGUAGAGGGAAGCGGAAUUUCCGGUGUAGCGGUGAAAUGCGUAGAUAUCGGAAGGAACAUCAGUGGCGAAAGCGGCUUCCUGGACCAGCACCGACGUUCAGGCACGAAAGCGUGGGGAGCAAACAGGAUUAGAUACCCUGGUAGUCCACGCCAUAAACGAUGAGGACUAGACGUUGGAGGGUUAAGCCUUUCAGUGUCGUAGCUAACGCGCUAAGUCCUCCGCCUGGGGAGUACGGCCGCAAGGUUG